UCGCUAUCCGUAAGUCAAACGUAUCGUUCCGUUUUCUUCGAUGCCCUCGGCAAUCCCAAACCCCACCUCCCACCGACGAUCCCCAAUUUCAGCCGCACGGUCGCCUGUCGCCGGAACGCCCCGAGCUCCCGUAGCGUCGUAGACCACAUACUCCUGAAUCCGAACGCACCGCCAGCGCGCGCCCAUGUCUCGCUCGGCUGUCCACCCGCGCGUCUCCUACCUCGGGGUCCGGCGAGCAGGGCCGGCAGCCAUGGAGAACUGCCACGAGAGCAUCCCGACUACAUAUGUGAGGCUAUGGGAGUCCUUUUUUCGUGUAAUGAUGAGAGGAAUAUGACAAGACAACCAAUUGUACCAUGUGAACACAAUCGCUGGGACAAGCUGGUCAAGACAGGAAAAUCUAAAAGAAUGCGACUAAAAUCAAUAUUUGAAGGUACAACCUGUAUUAUGUUACUGCAGAAAUUAAUAUUGUGGUUUGUUAUUGGGAAUCAUGAGUUUCCUGGCAAUGAGACCCAUUAGUUAGAAUCUAUUGUGCUGGGAUCUUUGCUUCACAUCCCAUAUGUGCCAAGUUACUGGUAGAACUGUGUAUCGAAUUUAUUGUGCUGGAAUUUAUUGUGCUUUGGCACACACUCACUUAUAAUCAGGGCUCGCUUAAUUUUAUCUUUCUAAUUCUUUUGAGAAAUACCAUAUCAAUAUUAUUUGUGAUGACUUGUUAGUCAUAAUUUCCAGUCA